CCUACGGGUGGCUGCAGUGAGGAAUAUUGGUCAAUGGGCGUAAGCCUGAACCAGCCAAGUCGCGUGAGGGAUGAAGGUUCUAUGGAUCGUAAACCUCUUUUAUAAGGGAAUAAAGUGUGGGACGUGUCCUAUUUUGUAUGUACCUUAUGAAUAAGGAUCGGCUAACUCCGUGCCAGCAGCCGCGGUAAUACGGAGGAUCCGAGCGUUAUCCGGAUUUAUUGGGUUUAAAGGGUGCGUAGACGGCCUGUUAAGUCAGCGGUGAAAGUCUGUGGCUCAACCAUAAAAUUGCCAUUGAAACUGGGGGCCUUGAGUAUAUUUGAGGCAGGCGGAAUGCGUGGUGUAGCGGUGAAAUGCUUAGAUAUCACGAAGAACCCCAAUUGCGAAGGCAGCCUGCCAAGCCGUGACUGACGCUGAUGCACGAAAGCGUGGGGAUCAAACAGGAUUAGAUACCCUAGUAGUC
rnacentral:rRNA from 1 species